AAUACGAAGUCGGACCUGCCCAGUGAAGUUUAAACGGCCGCGGUACUCUGACCGUGCAAAGGUAGCAUAAUCAUUUGCCUUAUAAUUGAAGGCUGGAAUGAAUGGUUUGACAAGAAUACACCUGUCUCUUUUGGAUUAUUUAGAAUUUUAUCUUUGGGUGAAAAAGCCCAGAUCUUAUUAAAAGACAAGAAGACCCUAUCGAGCUUCAGAAAAAUUAAUAGAGAUUAUAUUUAAUAUUAAUUAAAAGAAAAGCUAUUGAAUACUUUGGUUGGGGCAACCGAGGAGUAAAUAAAGCCUCCUUUAAAUAAGAAGUCUUACUUGUGAAGAUCCAAGAAUUUUGAUCAAAGAAAUUAGUUACCGUAGGGAUAACAGCAUUAUCUUUUUUGAGAGCCCAUAUCGAAAAAAAGGUUUGUGACCUCGAUGUUGGACCAGAAUAUCCUAAAGAUGCAGAAGUCUUUGAGGGUUGGUCUGUUCGACCAUUAAAAUUC
rnacentral:rRNA from 1 species